UCCCAAUUCCCUCCUCCCCUCUCUCCAAGAUCUGUUUCUCUUCCAUUUCCUUUCAGGAAAGAGCAAGCCUCCCAGGGAUAUCAAUUAAACACAGUAUAAUAGGAUACAAUAAGACUAGGCACAAACCCUCAUAUCAAGGCUGGACAACACAACCCAGUAGGAAGAAAAGGGUCCUAAGAGCAGAUGAAAGAGUCCAAGAUACCACCCACUCCCACUGUUUAGAGUCCCAUAAAAGCACUAAGUUAAACAACCACAACAUAUAUGUAGAAGACCUAGAGCAGACCCACACAGGCUCCAUGAUUGCCACUUCAGUCUCUGUGGGCCCUUAAGAGCCCUGUUUGGUUGAUUUUGUAGACUGUGUUCUCCUGGUAUUCUCAACCCUUCUGACUGCUAAAAUCCUUCUUCCCCCUCUUCCAUAGGGUUCCCCAAAUUCCAUCUAAUGUAUGUCUGUGGGUCUCUGCAUCUGCUGCCAUCAGUAGCCAGACAAAGCUUCUCUUGGACUAGGCACUGAUCUAGGAGCACAGCAGAAUAUCAUUAGGAUCAUUUCAUUGACUUUUUUGCCAGUCAUUUUUGGUUUUAUCCUGGACUCUGGGCUAUCCAGCCUCUGGUUCCUGGCCAUCCAGGCAGUGUCAGGCACGGGCUUACGUUCAUGGUAUGGGCCUCCAGUUAGACCAGUCAUUGGUUGUCCAUUCCUGUAAAUUCUGUGCCACCAUUGCCCCAGCACAUCUUGUGGGCAGGACAGAUUGUAAAUGGAAGUUUUCGUGUCUGGGUUGGUGUCCUAGUCCCACCACUGGAACCCUUGCCUGGUUACAGAAAGUGGAUGGUUCAGGCUCCAUAUCCCCCAUUACUAGGAGUCUUCACUAGAGUCACCCUCAUAGAUUCCAGAGAGUUUCCACUUCACUAGUCUUCUACAUCAACCCUUUAAGGCCCCCCCCAAUUCCAGUCAUCUCUCCCAGUACUCUCUCCCUCCAUCCCUCCCCCUCAGCUGAUCACUCCUGUUCCUGUCCCCUCCAGGCCCCAGUCCACUCACAAAAUCUUUUCUAUAUCCCCACUACAAUGAACAAACCCAGAGAGACUUAAGGUGUUUUUAAAGGCAUGCAUUGCAAUUAUCAUAACUGUUAGUGAUAUCCAAAAGGCCAUGCAAGGCCAAAGGACAUCAGGUCCAACACUUGACUAGAAAUAGGCAACAAAUCUGUAGCAUAUUCUUUUAGAUAGCUUACUUGCCCCUCCAAGAAAGGCCAGGUCUCAUGUCACAGAAUAUCAUGGCAGAAGACUUUGGAGACCUUCUUCUGGUUCUACUAAAUAGGUCAAUUUAGUUGACAUAACUGCAUACUGCAGUCUCCUUCAUGUUUCACUCUGUCUCUGACAUCUUGGAAAUGCAAGUAUAGCUCAACACAUUCCCCCUAACGUCUUGCUUUUUUAUCUUUCAUUUUUCCAUGUUCUUCUCAUAUGUUCUUAAAGCUUCAAUAGUGGUCCACAGUCCAUUCCUCUUCCCUAGUCUCUUUUUAAGCAUCACAUCCACUUCUCUAUCCUGUGUUUUCCCUUACAUGGUUUUAUUUUGGACAUGCACAUUUUCCUCCAGCAUAAUCUAUCCCUAUUCUAAUUUCCAAGCUCAGUAAUGUCAAUCAAUCUUGUCAAGUCACUCAAGCUGGAAAUAUUUAAAUCGCUUUUCUGGUUCUCUCAAAUCCGUCUGCAACCACAGUAUCCAGCAUAUGGCCUUUGCAGUUUGUUAAACUUCCCCAUUCUGCAAUUACCUUUGCUCAGAUCCCCUUAACCUCCCAUGUAGCUACUAAAAGUCGCCCUUACUGCCUGAUUCCUUCCCUCUUCAUUAACCCUCCACACUGGGAGAAAUAGCCAAAUGUACCAAAAACCUAUUUCCAACAUUGAAUGUUGCAAUAAAGUGGUACCAUCCAUCUGAGCAGUGCUCAUAGACAUGGAGAAAACACUAGGAUUAUGGAUAGACAAACUUUUAGAAUAAAUGAGAGUUUUAAGCACAGUCUCUAGUGGUUAACAAUGUGCAGGACAUAAAAGCUUGUGACAGUUGUAAGUCACACUAAAUGAAAAACUAAUGAAAGAUCAGAAGCUAUUUAUCUUGAGAGAAAAGACUGAAGGGAGACAAAAUAGCUGCCUUAAAAUAUUUAAAAGUAUAUAAUACAUAGGUGAGUGCCAGAAGUAUCUAAUGCUAUACCAGGAGGUGGAAGUUAUUGUAAAACAUGUUCCUAUUGAUAAAAACAAAGUAUUUUGACAAUAUCAGCUUGGACUCAGUGGGCACACUACUCCCUCUUCAUUUCGUAAGAAACAGGCUUAGUUGCAUAUGAGGUCUUGUGCCCAAAAUUCUGGCAUGUAGAAGGAAGAAGCUGAAUGUUCAGGGGAUAAGGCCAGUUUCAACUUCUGAGGUCAGUCUGAGCUGCCAUGAGACUGUGUCUGAAAAACAACUAAAGAUAAAACAGGAAGAAAGAAGCAGAUUUCCCAACAGUGGUGCCCUGGUAGAAGACGAGGAGAAUGAAGGAUAAGAGAUAAGAAGAGCUAUCCCAACUUCAAUUUUUCAAUUGAAUUUUAUUGCACUUAGGGGAAUGUGUGAAUAGUGUUUAGUCCUUGUAUUAGAUGCUUUUCUCUUUGAGUUUAUGCGAGUGAUGAAAUACCAGACAACGAAUGACUGAAGAGAGGAAGAGUUUGCUUGAGCUCUCUGUUUGAAGUUACCGUGGUGGCGAGGAAGGUGUGGCAUCAGGAACAUGAGACAUUGCGCCCCCACUCAGCAAGGUUUUGUUCUGUCUGAAGCAGUUAAAAAGUGAUGGCCAUGGCAGGUUAAGUCUGAGGGCAGAAAACAAGGAACUUGAUAAGUGGACUGCAGUAUUAGAGGAGAUGCUGACGAACAAUACCUAAAGAACAACAAAAAAUAGAAAACACGAAUGUUCUGCCCCUUUGUCCUGAAUGCACCCUUCUUGUACUUAGAAAUGGUCAGCCUGACUCCUAAAGAGGAUCAUUGUUCUCAAUUUGAAGAACAUUAAAAGAGCCUUCAUCCAGUAACUGAUGGAAGCAGAUGCAGAGAUCCACAGUGAAGCACCAGGCCAAGCUCCAGGAGUCCAGUGGAAGAGAGAGAAGAGGGAUUCUAUGAGCAAGGGGCAUCAAGAUCAUGAUGAAGAAACCUACAGAGACAACCAAACCAAACUACUGGGAACUCAUGAACUUUAGAGCAACAGCUGUGGAGACUGUAUGGGACUGGACUAGGCCCUUUGCAUGAGUGAGACAGUUGUGUAGCUUGAUCUGCUUAAGGGGCCCCCUGGCAGUAGGAUCAGGAUCUAUCCCUGGUGCAUGAGCUGGCUCUUUGGAGUCCACUACCUAUGGUGGGACACCUAACACAGC